rnacentral:rRNA from 1 species
AUUGAACGCUGGCGGCAGGCCUAACACAUGCAAGUCGAACGAAUGGCUGACGGGUGAGUAAUGUCUGGGAAACUGCCUGAUGGAGGGGGAUAACUACUGGAAACGGUAGCUAAUACCGCAUACCAUCGGAUGUGCCCAGAUGGGAUUAGCUCGUAGGUGGGGUAAAGGCUCACCUAGGCGACGCGCCCUAGCUGGUCUGAGAGGCUGACCAGCCACACUGGAACGAGGACACGGUCAGACUCCGACGGGAGGCAGCAGUGGGGAAUAUUGCACAAUGGGCGCAAGCCUGAUGCAGCCAUGCGGCGUGUAUGAAGAAGGCCUUCGGGUUGGAAAGUACUUUCAGUGGGGAUGCGUUACCCGCAGAAGAAGCACCGGCUAACUCCGUGCCAGCAGCCGCGGUAAUUC